AUUGAACGCUGGCGGCAGGCCUAACACAUGCAAGUCGAGCGAGCGGCGGACGGGUGAGUAAUGUCUGGGAAACUGCCUGAUGGAGGGGGAUAACUACUGGAAACGGUAGCUACUACCGCAUACCAUCAGAUGUGCCCAGAUGGGAUGAGCUAGUAGGUGGGGUAACGGCUCACCUAGGCGACGAUCCCUAGCUGGUCUGCGAGGAUGACCAGCAACACUGGAACUGAGACACGGUCCAGACUCCAACGGGAGGAAGCAGUGGGGAACAUUGCACAAUGUGCGCAAGCCGGAUGCAGCCCGGCCGGGGGUGGGAAGAAGGCUUUCGGGUUGGAAAGCACUUUCAGCGGGGAGGCGUUACCCGCAGAAGAAGCACCGGCUAACUCCGUGCCAGCAGCCGCGGUAAUAC
rnacentral:rRNA from 1 species